UGUGGGCGUGUCCAGGGCGCUGCCCUCGGCUCUUACCCCACCCGGUGCCCACCGCCCCCUCUAGAGGGCUCUCCUCCUGGUGGCCUGGUGCCACCUCCCACCACUGUGGCCCCUGGGGCCUUGGCUACCCACGGUCCCCAAUCCCACACGGCCAGCAUUCACAGAACUUCUUGUCCUACCUCCUAUGAAUCAAGUCCUAAAUCACAGGGACCCAUGAAGAUCUCUGCAACCUGUGUCAUCAAAUGGGACCCUGCUGGGAUCCUGAGGACAGCGUCAAUCUGCUAAGGGAAAUACACUGACUGAAACCGCCCACCCUGGCCAGGCCCUGAAGAAGUGGUACACUGCUCUUGGAAGAGGAGGCAUCCUUUCCCCAGACACGUCGGGGGCUAGAAAUCCCCCAGGCCCGACGCCCUCCGGAGACGCUGACGUCAGCCCGAGCGGCGGCCGCGGAGCGUUUCUGGUCAGCAGUUUGCUGUGGGCUCAGGUAGCAGUUCCUCUGUUCUUGGAUCUGUGGUCAGCUGCAGGUUUGGCUGGGCACUGGUGGCAGCCUGGCUUUAGCAGGAUGGCUCAUCUCUGCUCCACAGAGUCUCUCAUCUUCCAGGAGGCAGGCCUGGACUUGUUUCCAUGGUGAUGCAGUAAGGUUCUAAGGAAGCAAGCAGAGUGGAGGUUUGGAAGGAAAAGCUUCAGACUCUGCAGACAUCCAGUGGCCCAGUUUGGAAGAUGGAUUAUAUAUAUUCACCCUCCUUAGAAGGCCAAGGAGGAGAAAACAUCAAGGAGAAGGAGACGUAGAUGUGAAAUACUGCCAAGAGGACGGAGAAGGUUAAGUUUGGAAAGUGGGUUCCGUUGGGAUUGGAUUUGGCAAACUGAUGACCUUGGUUGGAGAAAGGCUUCUGAGAAAAAAGAUGGGAAAUGGACUGGAUCACGCUGAAUCUAGAUAAGAAAUAAGUAAAGAUAACAAAUUGCACAAGUCUUUCCAGAAGCUUGGCUGGGAAGGAAAGAAAAAGAGGGGCAGCUACAUGGAACGGAAGAGGGCACACCCUCCCUGCCGUUCUCUGCAGGAGAGGGUGGGAGCAUGGCAGACCCAAUAGGGACGACGACUCCAGUAGAGAGAUUGCCAGGGAAUCAAGGGCCGAGGUUUCUGGGGAGCCAGAAAGUACGAGGGUCCAGAUAAAGGGGAAAAAGCCUUGAAGAAAUAAAGGAGGAGACUUAAGAAAUAGUGGGAAAAGUCCCAAGGAGGUGGGUUUCUGGGCACGGAACUGAUGAAGGGGCUGGCAUUACGUUACAGACUUGUCUGACCACAGCAGACCAUGGUCGGUGAUGCAUUGGUCUUCCCUUGGCCGAAGACUCUUUACCCACCCCACCCCCGAAUGCACAUACCUGCACACGCAUGAUUUCUUCACACAGGUCAGGAGGCUCACAGUAAGCUGCUACCCACAGAGGAGUCCAGACCACAUAGAGCAUUUCAGCAAGCAUGCCUUCUCAUUAGGGACUCACUGCCCUGACCCCUCUGCAACCUACAUCCCCAACCACCCACUGGACACCUCCCCUGGAGGUCCCACAGCCAUCUCGGGAACAGGGUUUCAUUCACUUAUUAAAUUCUGUC
ensembl:lncRNA